CAGGUAUCCUACAAGCUUCUUGGUAACUAGCUCAGUGGCCGAUAUAAUUACACGGAUAACAUGUACUGCUUUUAGGGGAUGUGAGACGUCGAUGAAAUACGCCUUUUUAUUAGCCUUAUCCAGCAGAAUAAUGUCUGGUCUAUUGCUGGCUAUUGGUUUAUCUGUUACUAUAGGUGUAUCCCAGUAUAGCCGAUAAUUUUCGUUCUCAAGAACUGGAGCAGGUCUCUUUUGCUCAGUACCUUUGGGACUCCUGCCCAGAUCUUCCUGAAUCUUCUUUUCUUGGGUGUGUAUGGUGGUGUCCAUUUCAUGGCCAUCUUUGGAAGUCUUGUGUUGUCCAUGCGUUUCAGAUGUCCAUACCAAAUCAGUCGAUUUGAAUUUUUAGCA